rnacentral:rRNA from 1 species
GACGAACGCUUUUGGCGUGCUUAACACAUGCAAGUCGAACGGAAAGGCCCUGCUUUUGUGGGGUGCUCGAGUGGCGAACGGGUGAGUAACACGUGAGUAACCUGCCCUUGACUUUGGGAUAACUUCAGGAAACUGGGGCUAAUACCGGAUAGGAGCUCCUGCUGCAUGGUGGGGGUUGGAAAGUUUCGGCGGUUGGGGAUGGACUCGCGGCUUAUCAGCUUGUUGGUGGGGUAGUGGCUUACCAAGGCUUUGACGGGUAGCCGGCCUGAGAGGGUGACCGGCCACAUUGGGACUGAGAUACGGCCCAGACUCCUACGGGAGGCAGCAGUGGGGAAUAUUGCACAAUGGGCGGAAGCCUGAUGCAGCAACGCCGCGUGCGGGAUGACGGCCUUCGGGUUGUAAACCGCUUUCGCCUGUGACGAAGCGUGAGUGACGGUAAUGGGUAAAGAAGCACCGGCUAACUACGUGCCAGCAGCCGCGGUGAUACGUAGGGUGCGAGCGUUGUCCGGAUUUAUUGGGCGUAAAGGGCUCGUAGGUGGUUGAUCGCGUCGGAAGUGUAAUCUUGGGGCUUAACCCUGAGCGUGCUUUCGAUACGGGUUGACUUGAGGAAGGUAGGGGAGAAUGGAAUUCCUGGUGGAGCGGUGGAAUGCGCAGAUAUCAGGAGGAACACCAGUGGCGAAGGCGGUUCUCUGGGCCUUUCCUGACGCUGAGGAGCGAAAGCGUGGGGAGCGAACAGGCUUAGAUACCCUGGUAGUCCACGCUGUAAACGGUGGGUACUAGGUGUGGGGUCCAUUCCACGGGUUCCGUGCCGUAGCUAACGCUUUAAGUACCCCGCCUGGGGAGUACGGCCGCAAGGCUAAAACUCAAAGGAAUUGACGGGGCCCCGCACAAGCGGCGGAGCAUGCGGAUUAAUUCGAUGCAACGCGUAGAACCUUACCUGGGUUUGACAUGGAUCGGGAGUGCUCAGAGAUGGGUGUGCCUCUUUUGGGGUCGGUUCACAGGUGGUGCAUGGCUGUCGUCAGCUCGUGUCGUGAGAUGUUGGGUUAAGUCCCGCAACGAGCGCAACCCUUGUUCACUGUUGCCAGCACGUUAUGGUGGGGACUCAGUGGAGACCGCCGGGGUCAACUCGGAGGAAGGUGGGGAUGACGUCAAGUCAUCAUGCCCCUUAUGUCCAGGGCUUCACGCAUGCUACAAUGGCUGGUACAGAGAGUGGCGAGCCUGUGAGGGUGAGCGAAUCUCGGAAAGCCGGUCUCAGUUCGGAUUGGGGUCUGCAACUCGACCUCAUGAAGUCGGAGUCGCUAGUAAUCGCAGAUCAGCAACGCUGCGGUGAAUACGUUCCCGGGGCUUGUACACACCGCCCGUCAAGUCAUGAAAGUUGGUAACACCCGAAGCCGGUGGCCUAACCGUUGUGGGGGAGCCGUCGAAGGUGGGACUGGUGAUUAGGACUAAGUC